GUCUUGGUGGCUCAGAUGGUAGAGCUCUGUACUUGAUCCAAUGGUCGUGGGUUCAAAUCCCACCCAAGACA